GCAGCCGCCGCGGGAAUACGUAGGGUGCGAGCGUUAAUCGGAAUUACUGGGCGUAAAGCGUGCGCAGGCGGUUCGUUAAGACAGAUGUGAAAUCCCCGGGCUUAACCUGGGAACUGCAUUUGUGACUGGCGAGCUAGAGUAUGGCAGAGGGGGGUAGAAUUCCACGUGUAGCAGUGAAAUGCGUAGAUAUGUGGAGGAAUACCGAUGGCGAAGGCAGCCCCCUGGGAUAACACUGACGCUCAUGCACGAAAGCGUGGGGAGCAAACAGGAUUAGAUACCCCCGUAGUCCCUGUCUCUUAUAC
rnacentral:rRNA from 1 species